UACUAACUAAUAUUAUUACUAUACCCAUAUAGGUGAAUUUACACUUAUGGUAUGAUAUUUAAUACUAUCUUUACAUUCCCCCUCAAUAUCAUAAUUGUGAUCAAUCAAUUAUGAUAUUGAUCAAAAUUUCAGAAACAUGAUCAAUAUCUUUUCUGCAACUUAUCUUCUCGAUAUUGAUCUUUAGUGGAGACAACAACAGUGUUUCCCCCUUCUUUUCUUUUUUUCUUUCUUUUUUACAUGCAUCCGAAAACAGACCAGUAAUCUUCCCAUAUGGAUGAUAGUAAUUUAGAUGUGGAUUGUUAAGUGAUUGGAUUAACAAUAGGGGUUAAAAAACCCAGAUGGGAUCCGUAAUCUUGCUCCUCUUUUAACUCAAUUUUUUUUCUGGGAAAAACCCAUUCUCUCAAUCCAAUAUCAACUCCAUUACUUAUGAAAUCAUAUAGUCCAUUCCUGCCCUGAUCUAGUUCAGCUCCUUUGUCCUUGUCGAGGCUCUUCAUCUUAACGACAUAUAUAGAUCCUUUGUUUAGUCCUUUCUCUGUUCACCAAUUCUCAUAUAGAUCCUGCAUUUAUACAUAUUAUAGAGGUCAUCCAGGCAGGGACCAAUUCCCUUAACUUCCUU
rnacentral:lncRNA from 1 species